CCUACGGGAGGCAGCAGUGGGGAAUCUUCCGCAAUGGACGAAAGUCUGACGGAGCAACGCCGCGUGAACGAUGAAGGUCUUCGGAUUGUAAAGUUCUGUGAUCCGGGACGAAGGCAUCAAUUGAGAAUAUUGAUUGAUGUUGACGGUACCGGAAAAGCAAGCCACGGCUAACUACGUGCC
rnacentral:rRNA from 1 species